AGGAUUUUUUCUAAUACUCGGUAAUAAAGUAACCAAAUUCAAAACGGCCAAGACAAUAUCAACCAAAUUUGUAUACCGUCGAAAAAAAAGCCUAUAAUCUGGCAAGUAUGCAAAAAAUCUAAGAAUCACUUCUGCAGCCAGUAGAAAGUCCACACAAGCGUAAAAGAUUAGGUACCUAUUUGCAGUGCUAGAAGUUUGAUCAUAUGUUUGAGUACAAAGAGUUACAAACUGGGCUACUAUAAAACUUAUCCAAAUAAAGUUCGAGUAAAAUAGGUACUUCUCACAUAACUUAUUUCGAAUGAGAUGUUUAUCAACAGAUUUUUGUUCUUUUUGAUUCUUUCCGGAAUGCUGCAAGUCAAUAAAAGAACUCGUUACCACUGCAAUCACAAGGGACAUGAGCCAGAGUGUAAGAAAAUAUGCAGAUAUUAUGAAAAGGAGACAAGAAACAAAAUAUUCUGCAUCCAUGAUAUCGUACAUAAUAUCCGUGAACCCAUUGGAACUCAUUAUAACAAAUAUCAAUUCCAAAGAAUUGAAAAAAUUGUCAAAGCUAACAGUGUUACUGUAGGGGUUUUCCACCACGCGACAAACACUUUUUUCAGCACAGAUAAAACCUCUGGGGUUCACGUUGGAUGGAAAUCCAUUUUUAUCUAAGUAAGCCCUUUUUAUACCAUUCUCCCAAUGACCACCACAAAAUUGACCAGUAGGUAAAUACUGGUCCCCGUAAUCACCAAGCCAUACGCAUUGACGAUUCAGUGAUGCCUUAAAAAAUUGAACACCCAAUAUAGCUAUCAUUACCCCAAAGAAAGCAUUAAACGAGACGACUUGUACUAAAGGUGUAGACGACUCUUUUAAACUUUUUAGGAUGGUUUCAGUUUUUCGAGUUAUAUUCAACAGCCGAGUUAGGCGCAAACAAGCAAUCAUACUAAAAAGCCGAAAAAUACCUUGCUGUUUUUUACCAAUUACAGAGAUCCAUAAAGCAACAAUAGCCACAAAAUCGACACGAUUCCAUGAAUGUCGCAAAUAAGACAUUGUUCUGGGAGUUUUCUUGGUAUACGAGUUUAUGAAAUCAUAAAAUGAAGAGGAACCAUCAUAUAAAAAACCAAAUAAAUAGAUUUUGAGCAA